rnacentral:rRNA from 1 species
AAGAACUUUGAAAAGAGAGUGAAAUAGUGCUUGAAACCGUUGGGAGGAAAGCGAAUGGAGCUGCUAUACAGACCAAGAAUUCUCAAACCGGCCAAAAAUAAGGAACCCGUUGUAAUGAUCUUGGAUCUACGUUUGCGAAAACUUUUUAUCCUGGCGGUUCAUAACUUUAGAGUUCAUUUAUAUAAUUUUAUGUACUGUGUGAACAGUCAAAUUUUAUGUAAAAAUAAAUCUAUCGUGAUGUGACCAGAGACAAAGGUUGAAAAUGUCUACAAUCUAAUAGUUUGUUAGACCUAAAAAUUAUACAAAAGGCAGACGGAAGGGCUUUAUUCGACCCGUCUUGUAACACGGACCAAGGAGUCCAGCAUAUACGCGAGUGCUUGGGUGGUAAACCUUAGCGCGUAGCGAAAGCAUAGGAAUCAUGAAUUAUUGAACUUUUUUUUUUAUUUUUUUUAUUAAAGAAAAUUUAAAAAACUGACUCUUUAAUUGUCAUUUUUCUAAUGUGGGAGCUUUUUCGUUUUGAAUGCGCACCACGAUCCAACUUUCAAAGCUUAGGCAGGAAUAGUUUGUGACCGAGCGUAUAUGAUGGGACCCGAAAGAUGGUGAACUA